rnacentral:misc_RNA from 1 species
GAGGCUAAUUUCUCAAACAAUUUAAUCUUAAAAUUGAAAUUAAAUACAAUAAAAAUAUCACUGAAAAGAUUAAAAUUUAUUUAACGGAUCUGAUUUAUAAAAAAAAAAAAUUAAAUCUCGAGCAGCCAAACUAAGCCUAGGACCCAUAAUUAAGUUUUGUAUCUUUUCAGGUCAAGCUGAUCAAAGCAUUGCUACUCUAUCAAGAAAACACUAUUUUCUUUCACCAUUAUUAUUGAUACAUAAUGUCAGGAAAGUCUAUUGCAAAGUUCUUCUAAGAGUUCUUCCUGCAACUAGCCCAGUAUUCAGCUACAAGCUUAGAAAAGCUAGAGUUAAUCUCCAUGAGCUUUGAAGGUUCAUCGUACUCCAACAAUUUCCCAUAAGAGAGGACCAUAACCAUGUCACUGUCUAUAACAGUUGGAACUCUGUGUGCCACUGUUAUUACCGUACAGUCUGAGAACUGUUUUCUAAUAAUUCUUUGUAGAAUGGCAUCAGUAGCAGAGUCAAUGGAUGCAGUAGCUUCAUCCAGAACUAAAAUUCUGUUUCUCUUUAGAAGAACUCUUCCUAGGCAAAAGAGUUGGCGUUGCCCAGCACUCCAGUUUUCACCUUCAUCGCUUACUGCAAAAUUGGCUAAAAUUAGAAUACAUAAUCUUCACUGAAGUCUUAAACCUUGAGUAAUAGAAACAGGCAACUUAAGGGAGUUGUUUUCCCACUUCUUUCCUUCUUUGUUGGGAUUCUUGAAGCUGGUUUUAGAUGGUAUUUCCACUUGAUGAAGUAUACUAACCUGAUGAGUCCAGUUGAUUAGGUAGGCUGCUGAUUGUUGCCUUGAGCUGACACUUCUCUAAAGCCUCCCAUAUUUCAUUAUCAGAGUACAGGCCUAAAGGAUCCAAAUUAGUUCGAACGCUACCCCUGAAAAGUGUUGGCUCCUGAGGGAUGAUGCUGAGCUUCAUCCUCAAAUCCUUGAGACCAAUAGAACAUAUGUCAAGUCCAUCUAUAAGAAUUUGGCCACUUGCAGGCUCCACUAAGCGAAACAAAGCGCUGACUAGAGUGGUUUUGCCACAUCCGGUUCUCCCCACAACUCCUACUCUAGUCCCUUGCUUGAACGUGCAGCUAAUUCCCUUAAGAACUAGUGGAGCAUUUGGACGAUAUCUUAUCUUCAAUUCUUUAAGCUCUAUCCUACCCUUAAAGGGCCAGGAAGAUGCUGGUCUUUUGUCCUCCACAAUCGCCGCAGGUUCUUGUGGAAUAUGCGUGAACUGCUUGAUCCGUUCAAUUGAUAUGAUGUAGUUGGAUAAGUUGCAAUACCAACGUGUCAGGAAAACUUGGACGGUGGUAAGUGACAAUGCUUGAGACAAUGAAAGUCCCACAAGUCCAGGAGCUACAGCGCCCUUUGGAAGCAAUACAAGUAGAAGAGAAGCAGUUAAUAAAGUCACAUUUUGCAAUGCCUCUAUCCUCAUAACUAGCCACUCCAAGGCUCCAUUAGAAUGGAAGAAAAGUACAGCAUCCUUGUCCACAAGCUUUAGGUAGUUCUGGUAGAACCUAUCCACCAUCUUGAAAGCUCUUAUUGUCACUACACCAAGUGAUGUCUCAGCUGCAUAAUUCAUGACAGGAGCUUUUGUUGUACCAUUGAUCCUUAUCAAUUCCCUUGCGGAGGCUAAAUAAUAAUCCUGAACAUAUUUUGAACCUGCUAAAGCAAGGAUGGCUACAAUGACAACCUGCCACGUGACUGAGGCCAUGAUUCCUACUGUUGCUACAAGCUGUAGAAGAGGAGUCACCACAAAGAUAAAGGCGAAAGGAAUGUCAAAAUCCAAGAUACUCAAAUCUGAGGAAGCACGAGUCAGAAUCCGUCCAACUGGGGUAGAAUCAAAGAAGAGCAUAGGAGCUUUAAAAAUUGCAUUGGUGAAACCAAAGAAGAAAGAUUUAGAAGCUUUUAAUCCCAGAUGGGCUGUAAAGAAAGACCUCAAAUAUACAAAGGCAGAACUUAGUGUUGAUAUCAGAGUGUAAACUCCAAUCAUAAUGCCACUGUUCAUUUUAGGAAUUUGGAUGGCAUAUGCCAGCCAAUAAGUUGCAGCAGCCUGAAAACCAACAAAACCACUUUGACAUAGUAUGCCAAGGCAUGCAAGAAGCAUUCCCUUUGAGACAAGUAGGUAAUCGAGGAAUGGCUUCCAUCCAACAUCUCCCGUCUCCUUCUCUUCAUCUUCUGUUAGCUGCACUACAGGCACACCCUUUGCAGAAAUAUCUGCUUCACUGUUUUGUUUAGUGGUAUAAGACAUAUUAGACUCAUCUGGCCUAACCGUAUCUACAGUCAGAGAUUUUCCUUGACUUUGAUAGUUUGAAGCUCCCAAUGCUGUUAUUGAAUCCUUAUGAGCAUUCAUAAGCUGUUCAAAUGCUGUCCCAGCCAUCAAGAGCUGUUCAUAGCUUCCUGAUUGAGUAAUUUGCCCACCGUCCAUGACCAUAAUUCUGUCCACUGCCGAGAGGAACUCCACUUGGUGAGUCACUAGUAUGACAGUUUUGUUUUCCAAGGCAGUCAUGAUGCAGUCAUUGAAUAGAAUUGCAGCAGUCUGUGCAUCUACUGCACUAAAAGGAUCAUCAAGGAGAUAGAUAUCAGCAUCAUUGUAGACAGCACGGGCAAGUUGAAUCCUCUGCUUCUGUCCACCACUUAGAUUAAGCCCUCUCUGGCCUAUUUCUGUGAGAUCUCCAUGAUUGAAACUAUUAAUGUCCUUGUCUAAAGCACAUGCUUUUAUGGCCUUCUCAUAUUUGCCCUCGUCCAUUGAUUUUCCAUAGAGUAUGUUAUCACGAAUAGUUCCACUUUGAAUCCAAGAAGUUUGAGAAACAUAGGCAAUGGAUCCAAACACAUCAACAGUUCCUGAAAUUUUAGGUAUCUCCCCAAGAAUGGCAUAUAAUAGCGACGAUUUUCCAGCCCCAACCGGCCCACAAAUUGCAAUUUUUUGCCCCCAUUUGACAUCCAGGUUCACUUCUCUCAAAGUUGGCAUCAUUAGUUCAGGAUCCCAGCUGAAUUUACCUCCUUGAAUUCUAACACUUUUAUCUGAGUUAUGAGAUGAAAUUGUCCUCAAGCUUUCAUUCUUGAGUUCAUCACCAAGUAGAAAAGUAUUGAUUCUAUCAAGAGACACCCUAACUUGGAUCAUAAAAGAAAGAGCCUCAGGUAAAUUUCUUACAGGCUCCGCCAUUCCCCUCAAUGUUGCAAGAACUGUGAAAAUGGUACUAGCAUUCAAUGGAGCACUUCUGAAAAGAGCACAUCCCAGGAAGAUGACAGAAGAAAUGAUUGUUGGAGAUAACCAAUAUAAGAGAGUACUAUAGGCCUUCCUGAACUGUGCUUUGGACAACCAUUUGAAUUCGUUGUCUCGGUGGGAUUCAAUGAAACUCUUGAACUUGUCUUCCCACGAUUGUAACUUUAUGAUUUUCAUGCUGUUCAGGAUCUCAGACGUAGCCCUGAGUCGUUCAUCCUGAGCAAUCAUAAAUUCAUAUUGACAUUUUUGUAGAAAUCUUGCAAAUGGGACAUUGAGAAGUCCGCAUAUGAGGAGAGG